UCAAUACCUGACAUUUUUUAAUUUUUCCGUUCAAGGCGCUCUUCAUUGCAGAGUCAUGUGUAUUAGGAUUAGGGUUCCUGUGUGUCAGUUACGUACCUCAGGAAACGGACGGCUUGGGUCCAACUCUAUCCGGAUCACGACACAAGAAAAAAUGAAAGUUGUAUAUAUUUCGUUGUUACAUACAAGACAAGCCAAGCCCAUGCAAUGACGUCUCUCAGAUUUGCCAUAUUCUUUUGCCACGGUUUCUUAUAGAUUACGAUCCAAACCAUCAAUUUAUUCACUGAUCAUCUGCAUCAUGAUCAGGUCAUUCUCAGUUUUUGUUUGCAUCCAGAAGAACAUUUUUCUAUCAACUAUAUAUAUAUUCUUAGACAGUCGGGUUAACAGUACUAAAGCAAUAGUUUGUGUCCCGGCCAGGCUUCAGAAGGCAGGCAGUUGAAUUUCCUUGAAUUAAGGUACUGCUGUCAAAAUAUUCAAUGAGGGUUGACAAAUUUAUUGCAUGCUAGCCAGUUCGGGUGGUUCAACAGCUUCAGCCAUGUAACACCAGGUGACAGUCAGUCACUAAUUCCUGACGCUACUUCCCUGAUAGUGUAGUAGGUGCAUGUGCCAGAGUUAAACUUGCCCUGAUGCAUGGGUUUCAAUUGCACGGCAGCUAGCUCGAUGGUGUGGAGAUAGAAGAUAAGCUGAAAAGUGAAAAUUCAAUGCUCUGGACUCUUUGGCGGUCAUGCCUGCUAAAAUUAUCGUAUCGAAACUGAAGCAUACCAAAGGGAAAUAUAAUUGAAUGGCUUGUGGCUUUGGCGGCUCAAGCCACGCCCGAGAUCAAGAUGGGGCUCAUGCAACUUGAUCAGGGAACCCCUUAAUCAAAACAACUCUUUUUUUGGACUGAAUCAAAGUCCAGACAACACUAGGGUUGUCCAGUCUGAGAUGCUUCUAGGGGAUCUGAACCUUAGAGGUGUGGGCUGAGAGUCAAACAUGGGUGACCGGAGAGAGAGAGUGAGAGAAGCAAAAGUGGAGGAGUGUGGACCGGAGACGGAGACUUUAAGUGGGUCCCACAAGUUCUGAAAGCAGAGAAAGACGACGCUGGAAAUGGGUCCCAUUCAUCCCUCUCUCUCUCUCCUCUGCUCACAGCCCUAUUUGUCCAAGCUUCCUUCUUCGUUUUGCCCUCUCUCUCUCUCUCUCUAAUUUCCAAAGAUAAAGAACGGAAAGAAAAAGAAAACGUCACGUACACAGGGUGUAGGGGAAAGAGAGAGGAAUGGAAAGCGAUGAUACGGGUUUCCGAGUCCAAACGAGUGUAUUUGGGUGAGAGAAAGAGAUGCAAAAGUUCAUAUGGGUGGAUGCAGAAAAAACACCCCAUUGUUUCGACGUGACCUGAUACGUGGGGGUGGUGGGUGUGGGGUCUACUUCCCACCAACUAUGUGAGCCUCACUGGAACACCCCCCCCCCCCAAAAAAAAUAUAUUCCUCUUUCUUAUCCAUCUUCCUACGCUUUGGAUUGGAUUCAUAUUUGCUUUUUCUAGCAAACAUUUCUUGUUUAAAUCCACGCAAUGAUUUAACACUCCAUCCCCAUCUCUCUAGUAUCUUCCUUGCUACCUUUGCUUCAUAUAUAGGCUCGUUUCGUUUCAACUUCUGUAUCAUGAAUUGGAGGUGUUAGAUUGGCCGGGCUUCCUAGCUAGGGAAUCUUUUGAUGUUAAAAUGUCGUCACUUUAAUCGAUCGAGCUCAAAUCGAAUCAUUCUUUUUAGUAUCUUGAUUAUGGAUAAUGUUGCUUAUCCUAUCGUGUUGCAAUUUUUGUCUCUGAAAUAAUAUCAGUUGGUGUUUUUUC